rnacentral:rRNA from 1 species
AUUGAACGCUGGCGGCAUGCCUUACACAUGCAAGUCGAACGGCAGCAUGAUCUAGCUUGCUAGAUUGAUGGCGAGUGGCGAACGGGUGAGUAAUACAUCGGAACGUGCCCUGUAGUGGGGGAUAACUAGUCGAAAGAUUAGCUAAUACCGCAUACGACCUGAGGGUGAACGUGUGGGACCGCAAGGCCUCAUGCUAUAGGAGCGGCCGAUGUCUGAUUAGCUAAUUGGUGAGAUAAAGGCUCACAAAGGCGACGAGCAGUAGCGGGUCUGAGAGGACGAUCAGCCACACUGGGACUGAGACACGGCCCAGACUCCUACGGGAGGCAGCAGUGGGGAAUUUUGGACAAUGGGGGCAACCCUGAUCCAGCAAUGCCGCGUGUGUGAAGAAGGCCUUCGGGUUGUAAAGCACUUUUGUCCGGAAAGAAAUCGCACUUACUAAUAUUAGGUGUGGAUGACGGUACCGGAAGAAUAAGGACCGGCUAACUACGUGCCAGCCGCCGCCGUAAAAC